GGCUCGGUAGCUUAGUUGGUUAAGCGCUUGUCUAGGAUACAAGAGUCUUUGGUUCGAAUCCCAGCCGAGCAC
rnacentral:tRNA from 1 species